AUUGGACGCUGGCGGCAUGCUUUACACAUGCAAGUCGAGCGGAGCGAGGGUGCUUGCACCUUAGCUUAGCGGCGGACGGGUGAGUAAUGCUUAGGAAUCUGCCUAUUAGUGGGGGACAACAUUCCGAAAGGAAUGCUAAUACCGCAUACGCCCUACGGGGGAAAGCAGGGGAUCUUCGGACCUUGCGCUAAUAGAUGAGCCUAAGUCAGAUUAGCUAGUUGGUGGGGUAAAGGCCUACCAAGGCGACGAUCUGUAGCGGGUCUGAGAGGAUGAUCCGCCACACUGGGACUGAGACACGGCCCAGACUCCUACGGGAGGCAGCAGUGGGGAAUAUUGGACAAUGGGCGAAAGCCUGAUCCAGCCAUGCCGCGUGUGUGAAGAAGGCCUUUUGGUUGUAAAGCACUUUAAGCGAGGAGGAGGCUACUUGGAUUAAUACUCUAGGAUAGUGGACGUUACUCGCAGAAUAAGCACCGGCUAACUCUGUGCC
rnacentral:rRNA from 1 species